rnacentral:rRNA from 1 species
UACGUAGGUGGCAAGCGUUGUCCGGAUUUACUGGGCGUAAAGGAUGCGUAGGCGGACAUUUAAGUCAGAUGUGAAAUACCCGAGCUUAACUUGGGUGCUGCAUUUGAAACUGGGUGUCUAGAGUGCAGGAGAGGUAAGUGGAAUUCCUAGUGUAGCGGUGAAAUGCGUAGAGAUUAGGAAGAACACCAGUGGCGAAGGCGACUUACUGGACGUGUAACUGACGCUGAGGCAUGAAAGCGUGGGGAGCAAACAG